rnacentral:lncRNA from 1 species
CGCCGUCCUUCCGGCUUCUGGCACGCAGACGCGGUCUCCGGGGUGCGCACUUCCUACCGCCGAUAGAACGCCGUGACGGACGCGGGUCAAUGGGAACAAGCACGGCUAUGAGUCCGGCAACGG